GGUUUAGGUAAACUGGGACCUGGAAGAAUCCAUUGAAGGGUUUAGGUCAACUGUCUGGGACCUGGAAGAAUCCAUUGAAGGGUUUAGGUAAACUGGGACCUGGAAGAAUCCAUUGAAGGGUUUAGGUCAACUGUCUGGGAGAUAUGAGUAUUGAUGAAAGUGCAUAAUUGGUGUACAUUAAUGUCCUAAAUAGACAAGAUAUUGAGUUUCUUAAACAAAGGUGCAGAUAGAGCCAGGUAAUUAGAGGAGGUGGCUAGUCUUGCACAUUUCUUUUGUAUGAUGAGUAAUUUGUGUAGGUAGAAGGCAUAUCUACUGGCCCAGACAAUAUUACAAUAAAUGAGAUAUGAGUAAAUGAAGCUCUAGUAUAGAGUUAGGAGGCCUGAUGAACCAAACCACUCAUCUAUCUGAUAUCAACACACUUCAUCACUUUACUGCAGACUGAAUGUGAUCUUUCCAGGAUAACUUUUCAUCAAUUAAAACUGAGGAAUCUAGUGGAUGUGACUUGUUCCAUUUCAUUCCAACCAAUUGA